UACGAAGGUGGCAAGCGUUGUUCGGAUUUACUGGGCGUACAGGGAGCGUAGGCGGUUGGAUAAGCCCUCCGUGAAAUCUCCAGGCUUAACCUGGAAAGUGCAGAGGGGACUGUUCAGCUAGAGGAUGGGAGAGGAGCGCGGAAUUCCCGGUGUAGCGGUGAAAUUCGUAGAUAUCGGGGAGGAACACCAGUGGCGAAGGGCGGCGAUCUGGGGAAGAUACUGACGCUGAGGUGCGAAAGCGUGGGGAGCAAACAGG
rnacentral:rRNA from 1 species